rnacentral:rRNA from 1 species
UACGGAGGGUGCAAGCGUUAUCCGGAAUCACUGGGUUUAAAGGGUGCGUAGGCGGCACUGUAAGUCAGGGGUGAAAGGCUGCAGCUCAACUGUGGAAUUGCCUUUGAUACUGCGGUGCUAGAAUGAGAUUGAGGUAAGCGGAAGGUGGCAUGUAGCGGUGAAAUGCAUAGAUAUGCCAUAGAACACCAAUUGCGAAGGCAGCUUGCUAGAUCUUGAUUGACGCUGAGGCACGAAAGCGUGGGGAGCGAACAGG